GGGAGUUAGAGAGGGGGCGUUUCCCCCUACCCCUCCAUCUCCCCCUCGCUCUCUCUCCCCCUAUCUCUCUUCAGGGUGAUUUCCAGAUAUUGGCAAUACACCGUCUUCGACUUGAGUUGCACAGAGCAGGAAUUGACAAGACUUCCAACUAUGGUGGGGAACCUGGGCAGUUUUCAGCAGCUUAUAAAAUCCCCACCCUUCCCUCCAGCUCUCUCCUGCUGCACAGCGUCGAACACAGAACGAGGGGGAUGGGAGGCGAGAGCCGUAGAGAGAGGAGAGAUGGUUGGAGGGGAGUGAGGUGGCGUGACCGUUUGCUCCCGUCUCGACUACGGGUAUUCUUGGGUUGAUAAUACAGAUGUCGAUGUUAUUGCUUGAGAAUACGCGUAGCUGAGUGGAAGCCAUCAUCGGCAGCAGCAAAUGUUCCUCCUGAUGUGAAGAUUGGCUGAGCUGAUGUUAAUCUUCUCCUAGAGUCCUCCUUGUGGUCCUCAAGCUCGCCCCCAUGCCUCUACCCAGCAUCCUCUCUGCCUCUGCAGGAAUGGGCGAAUGUGAUGCUGGGGCUCAUCCAUGUAAAAGGCCCUUUGACAGGAACUGUGUCUGUGUGCUAAACCCUGGAAAUUCCCAGCCAAGAGGAUUCUCCACGCCACUCCCCAGAGACUCCACUUACAUCAGUGCCACUGUCUCUCUGUCACUGGGCAUGUGUGUGCAUAUAUGUGUGCUUGCAUUAGUCCGUGCAUGUGUGCGAGAGCAAUUUUUCUGUUUCUUCUUCCACAUAGCAAUUAAAGAUCCAAUUGAUUUCCCUGCCUA